UACGUAGGGUGCGAGCGUUAAUCGGAAUUAUUGGGCGUAAAGAGCUCGUAGGCGGUUUGUUGCGUCGGCUGUGAAAUCCCCAGGCUCAACCUGGGAACUGCGUCGGAUACUGGAUGGCUUGAAUUCGGGAGAGGGAUGCAGAAUUCCAGGUGUAGCGGUGAAAUGCGUAGAUAUCUGGAGGAAUACCGGUGGCGAAGGCGGCAUCCUGGACCGACAUUGACGCUGAGGAGCGAAAGCUAGGGGAGCAAACGGG
rnacentral:rRNA from 1 species